CACCGCCGCCCGCAAACCCGCCCACACGCCUGGCCUCCAGGCUCGCGGAAGGCAGCCGGGGCGCAAAGCUGGGGCGCGGGACCCGGGGAACCCAAAGGCCGGGCCUUCCGAAGGGUACGCGCGCGCCACUGCGCGUGCGUAAGCGCGCGGGGGUGGUGCGUUUGUGGCCUGGGGCGGCCGGCGUGUGCGCACGCGCGCCUGGUCGGGGCGGUGUUUUCUCUUUCAGCCCGUGGCUACCCCGGGGGAUGCCGGGAGUGAGGCCUUCUAGACUCCACGCGGUCGGAACCGGAAGGGAUUCCAGGGAGUGCCCAGAAGGGGGAACCGAGGCCCAGAGACACUGGUGUCCCGCACCGACCAUCCGUGUCCCGCACCGACCACACCGACAUCUUCCCAAGCGCAGAGUGCAGUUACAGAAUUUCAGAAAUCAUUCUUUGAUCGUCCUAGUUGUUCAAGUUCUGUUGCUUCCAUAGGGAUUCCACAUAUAAGUGAUCCUGGGCAUAUAUCUAGAGAAAACUAUAAUACAAAAAGGUACAUGCACCCCAAUGUUCACUGCAGCACUAUUUACAAUAGCCAAGAUGUGGAAGCAACCUAAAUGUCCAUCAACAGAUAAAUGCAUAAAGAAGAUGUGGUACAUAUAUACAAUGAAAUAUUACUCGGCCAUAAAAAAGAACAAAAUAAUGCCAUUUGCAGCAACAUGGAUGGACCUAGAGAUUCUCAUACUGAAGAAAAGCAACAGAUGGCAUCUACACUUUAUAUGCCAAGAUGCUCUCUUAGAGUUUGGAGAGAGUCUGGGAGCAGCGUAAUGUGGACCAGGCCAGUUCCAGACUGAGGCAGAGCUGGAGUCUCCUCCCCAGUCACCACAGCUCACAGAGCAAGGCCGGAACAAGCUGGACUGUGGGCCUUCUGCUCUCUUAGAAUCUGGAAUUCACCUUGGAUUUUGGAAUCUGGAGAAUAACACUAUUUACAAUAGCCAGGACAUGGAAGCAACCUAAAUGUCCAUCAACAGAAGAAUGGAUAAAGAAGAUGUGGUAUAUAUAUGCAAUGGAAUAUUACUCAGCCAUAAAAAGGAAUGAAAUUGUGCAAUUUGCAGAGAUGUGGAUGGACCUAGAGACUGUCAUACAGAGUGAAGCAGAGAGAUCGCCAAAGCGCCUGUACAGUACUGCCAGCGCCUUCGCAGAAGCCCAAACUGAAGGCUGCGAGGACGAGGGUCAGCUCUGCGGUCCCCCACCCAGCCCCGCACCGCCCCCAGUGGUGUUCAGACAGCCUGUUUCAGGAGCCACAUGGGCUGGGUCUGCUCACUCAGACUGUUUAAGGUUUUGAGCUCAGUGGAAUAAGAAGUUUCCCUGCAGAUCUACGUGGCCUCUGGACUGAAAUACAAAAUA